GACGAACGCUGGCGGCGUGCUUAGCACAUGCAAGUCGAACGGAAAGGCCCUGCUUUUGUGGGGUGCUCGAGUGGCGAACGGGUGAGUAACACGUGAGUAACCUGCCCUUGACUUUGGGAUAACUUCAGGAAACUGGGGCUAAUACCGGAUAGGAGCUCCUGCUGCAUGGUGGGGGUUGGAAAGUUUCGGCGGUUGGGGAUGGACUCGCGGCUUAUCAGCUUGUUGGUGGGGUAGUGGCUUACCAAGGCUUUGACGGGUAGGCGGCCUGAGAGGGUGGCCGGCCACAGUGGGACGUCGAGACGGCCCAGUCUCCUCCGGGAGGCAGCAGUGGGGAAUAUUGCACAAUGGGCGGAAGCCUGAUGCAGCAACGCCGCGUGCGGGAUGACGGCCUUCGGGUUGUAAACCGCUUUCGCCUGUGACGAAGCGUGAGUGACGGUAAUGGGUAAAGAAGCACCGGCUAACUACGUGCCAGCCGCCGCCGUAAAAC
rnacentral:rRNA from 1 species